CGCUUAUUAAGAACCCUUUAUUGGAAUAGGAGGUUAUCUCAAAUCUAACUAGGGUUUUCUUGUUGGGAACAGGGUGAGGGUUAUGGGCAAAUGUCUCUUUUGGACAAGUAAGGAAACUCCUUGCAUCUUAAGGGAAUUUUUGGGAAAGAUGGUUAUUAGGACAAAAGGCCCUAGCGUCCAAGGUCCAUGGAAGGGAGGGGGUGAAAUGUAGGAGGAGACUACACAUUGGAAAAGCUCUAGGAGAGGAGGCUUAAGCUUUGAGCAUAGCACUCUGGAGGAGGUCCCUCUGGAUUUUUAUUGGGAUAUUCUUGAUUGAGCUUGGGAGAAAAGACUCAAGAAUUCUUCGCUGAUUGUUGACGGAAUUGGAAAACAGAAGCUACCAAGAGAAUCGUGGAAGGAUUCUCUACAACUUCUAUGGAUCGGAAUCUCGUUUCGGAGAUUUUCGGGUUUCGGCGUAAAAUCGAGGUUUUGGAACUCGGUUUACUGUUUAGGGACCUUGAAGUUUGAGAUUUUCUUACGGAGUUAAGGUACUGAGAGUGUCCGGCUCUAUAUCCGAGGGGGUGUUAUUGCCUGCCAUGUAGGCAAGAAUGUCCGGCUCUAUAUCCGAGGGCGUGAGCCUAUUCCGACAGAUCAGACUGAAGGAUGUGGAUCCACCAGUUUAGCGCCGGUACGAUGCUAUAGGAGUCGGGGACUAGCCAUGUGCCGGUGGCGCCGCGUUUGCGGGUUGGCUACGAUCCAACGACGUAUGUCGCGGGCCGGCUUCGGGCCGAAGAGUUUGACGACUCUGAGGAUUACUGAUCAUGUGUAUGUAUUGUGAUUGGGCUGCGCAUAAAUGGCCGCCGUAUGUGUGCGUGUAUGCACUGUGUAAAUUAGUAU